UUCGCAAUGCCCGAAAGGGUGACGAAGCGACGCCGCGUGGGUGAGGAAGGCCUUCGGGUUGUAAAGCCCUGUCAGGAGUUAAGAAAUGUAAGUGCGCUAAUAUCGCAUUUACUUGACGAAGGCUCCAAAGGAAGCCACGGCUAACUCUGUGCCAGCAGCCGCGGUAAUACAGAGGUGGCAAGCGUUGUUCGGAAUUAUUGGGCGUAAAGAGCACGUAGGUGGGUUUGUAAGUCAGAUGUGAAAGCCUUCUGUUCAACGGAAGAAUUGCAUCUGUAACUGCAAAUCUUGAGUAUAGGAGGGGAGAAUGGAACUUCUGGUGGAGCGGUGAAAUGCGUAGAUAUCAGAAGGAACGCCGGCGGCGAAAGCGAUUCUCUGGUCUAUUACUGACACUCAGUGUGCGAAAGCUAGGGGAGCAAACGGGAUUAGAUACCCCGGUAGUCCUAGCUGUAAACGAUGGGCACUAAGUAGAGGGGUUUU
rnacentral:rRNA from 2 species